GGCCCUACGGGGCGCAGCAGGCGCGAAAACUUUACAAUGCGGGCAACCGUGAUAAGGGAACCUCGAGUGCCUGUAUAUGCAGGCUGUCUGGGUGUCUAAAACACACCCAAAGAAAGGGCCGGGCAAGACCGGUGCCAGCCGCCGCGGUAAUACCGGCGGCUCGAGUGGUGGCCACUUUUAUUGGGCUUAAAGCGUUCGUAGCUGGGUUAUUAAGUCCCUUGGGAAAUCCGACAGCUUAACUGUCGGGCGUCUAAGAGAUACUGGUAAUCUUGGAACCGGGAGAGGUGAGGGGUACUUCGGGGGUAGGAGUGAA
rnacentral:rRNA from 1 species